rnacentral:rRNA from 1 species
GAAUUCAAGCAUAUUAAUAAGCGGAGGAAAAGAAACUAACAAGGAUUCCCCCAGUAAUGGCGAAUGAAGCGGGAACAGCUCAAAUUUCAAAUCUCCGUCGCCUGCGACGGCGAAUUGUAGUUUCGAGAAGCACUUUCUAGGCGGGACCGGAGCCGUCCAAGUUGCUUGGAACAGCACGUCGUAGAGGGUGACAACCCCGUCUGUGGCGGAGCCGGCCGCUCACGAACUGCUUUCGACGAGUGGGUUGCUUGGGACUGC